CCAGAUUCCUACGGGAGGCAGCAGUGAGGAAUAUUGGUCAAUGGGCGCAAGCCUGAACCAGCCAAGUCGCGUGAGGGAAGACGGCCCUACGGGUUGUAAACCUCUUUUGCCGGGGAGCAAGCCUGAGCACGUGUGCCCAGGCGGAGAGUACCCGGAGAAAAAGCAUCGGCUAACUCCGUGCCAGCAGCCGCGGUAAUACGGAGGAUGCGAGCGUUAUCCGGAUUUAUUGGGUUUAAAGGGUGCGCAGGCGGGCUGUUAAGCCGGCGGUAAAAAUUCAGGGCUCAACCCUGUCGAGCCGUCGGAACUGGCAGUCUUGAGUGGGCGAGAAGUAUGCGGAAUGCGUGGUGUAGCGGUGAAAUGCAUAGAUAUCACGCAGAACGCCGAUUGCGAAGGCAGCAUACCGGCGCCCAACUGACGCUGAGGCACGAAAGCGUGGGGAUCGAACAGGAUUAGAUACCCUGGUAGUCCACGCAGUAAACGAU
rnacentral:rRNA from 1 species